AUUGAACGCUGGCGGCAGGCCUAACACAUGCAAGUCGAGCGAGCGGCGGAAGGGUGAGUAAUGUAUGGGGACUGCCCGAUAGAGGGGGAUAACUACUGGAAACGGUAUCUAAUACCGCAUACUAUCGGAUAACCCAUAUGGGAUUAGCUAGUAGGUGAGGUAAUGGCUCACCUAGGCGACGAUCCCUAGCUGGUCUGAGAGGAUGAUCAGCCAACAGGGGACUGAGACACGGCCCAGACUCCUACGGAGGCAGAAGUGGGGAAUAUUGCGCAAUGGGCGCAAGCCUGAUGCAGCCAUGCCGCGUGUAUGAAGAAGGCCCUAGGGUUGUAAAGUCCUUUCGGUCGAGAGGCGUUACCGACAGAGGAAGCACCGGCUAACUCCGUGCCAGCAGCCGCGGUAAUAC
rnacentral:rRNA from 1 species